UACAGCGAGAGUGAGCGUCUUCCCGAAAUAUCCGUCCGAAGAAGCGACGCCUGCCGCUGAGCGCUGACGCCGCAGCGACUGGACUGACGAUCUCCGAGCGUCCCCUCUCGCUCGCCGGCAACAUGACUCGCUCCUUUGCCAAGACGUAUGGGUCCUGACUCCUGAGCCAAGGACAAGAGUAAGAUGGCAAUGAAGUGUGGGUUCAACGACGAGGAUGAGGAGGAUGUGGCAGAGAUGCCACACACAAAGAACUUAAAGGAGGCCACUCACAUAGACAAGAUCACAAAGGAAGCUUAGGCUAAGGUUAUGGUGCACAGGAAGGUCUCUGCCUUGACUGCCGCCCUGGAGACCACCACAUGCCCCAUCCCUGCACCAGAGAAUGCCCCAGCCCCAACCGCUGUUCCAGAGACCGCCGCAACCCUCGCCCCGGCACUGGCCCCAGCAAUCAACUAAAUAUGGGUGAAGGGACUUGAUUUCUGAUCAAGAAAUGACAACAAUUGCCACAAGUCAAAGAUUUCAGGAGAAUGUUUGCAUCAACUGGGUUUUUUUGGUUUCCUCUUUUUCUCAGUUCUUUUGUAAUGGUGAUCAGUCACAAACCUUUAAAUCAGCUGAGUUUGUUUCUUGAAACUGGUUGAAGGGGACCAGUAAAUGAUGGUAAAGGGAUCAGUUUAGCCGUGGUAUCCAAAUACAAUCUGAUGGUAACAAUGUGGAUAGCUUUACAUGCAUUUGUCUGUGUUCACUCUGAGAUUAUGUCUUUCUCAUUGUGGCGGUCCAUGAUUAUUGUGCUUUCAUGUGAGAUCAUAUGUUUAUUUGCUGCC